AAUCAACGCUGGCGGCGUGCCUCAGACAUGCAAGUCGAACGCGAAAGUCCCCUUCGGGGGGCAAGUAGAGUGGCGCACGGGUGAGUAACACGUAGGUAAUCUACCUUUGGAUGGGGAAUAACAACCGGAACGGUUGCUAAUACCGCAUAAUGCAGCGGCACCUAAUGGUGACAGUUGUUAAAGCGGGGGAUCGAAAGACCUCGCGUCUGAAGAGGAGCCUGCGGCGGAUUAGCAGUUGGUAAGGUAACAGCUUACCAAGGCAACGAUCCGUAGCCGGCCUGAGAGGGCGGUCGGGCCACACUGACACUGACAUACGGGUCAGACUCCUACGGGAGGCAGCAGUCGGGAAUUUUGGGCAAUGGGCGAAAGCCUGACCCAGCAACGCCGCGUGAAGGAUGAAAU
rnacentral:rRNA from 1 species